GGGGGUGUAGCUCAGCUGGGAGAGCGACAGGCUGGCAGUCUGUAGGCCGAGGGUUCGAGCCCCUUCACCUCCACCA
rnacentral:tRNA from 1 species